rnacentral:tRNA from 1 species
GGGCGCGUGGUCUAGUGGUUAUGACGUCUCCCUGACACGGAGGAGGUCCCCAGUUCGAAUCUGGGCGCGCCCA